rnacentral:rRNA from 1 species
UACGAAGGGGGCUAGCGUUGUUCGGAUUUACUGGGCGUAAAGCGCACGUAGGCGGAUUGUUAAGUCAGGGGUGAAAUCCUGGAGCUCAACUCCAGAACUGCCUUUGAUACUGGCAAUCUAGAGUCCGGAAGAGGUGAGUGGAACUCCUAGUGUAGAGGUGGAAUUCGUAGAUAUUAGGAAGAACACCAGUGGCGAAGGCGGCUCACUGGUCCGUACUGACGCUGAGGUGCGAAAGCGUGGGGAGCAAACA